rnacentral:piRNA from 1 species
UGCCACACUCCCAAAACAGAGCUGCAAA